rnacentral:tmRNA from 1 species
GGGGAUGACCGGUUUCGACGGGCGAGGCUGGUUCCAGAUGGCAAGCCGGGCGGCGCCGAAUACCCGUAAACUCAGCGCAAAACGUUAAGUGCCAACCGCACUCAAUACGCUGCUCUUCCGCUCGCGGCCUAACCCCGCAAGCUGAGUGGCGGUUACUCUGCGGAGUAACCCGUUGACCGUCAGCUCCGUCUCAUGGCGGACGUGAUCAGCGAAACAAAUGUGAGACUGCCGCUGAGUGGGCCACGCGCUCAGCGAAAGACCCAAAUGUGGCUGGUCGGGGCUGUGACCCUGUUGCGCGGGGCCAGCACCGGUGACGCCAAAAUAGCGCAACUACGCUUGUAGAAAUCUGUCGCCGAAUCGUUCGGACUCGGGUUCGACUCCCGACAUCUCCACUU